rnacentral:ncRNA from 1 species
UCUCCGAACGGGCAAAACCAGAGUAAUCUGGCGACGCAAAGCUACGGGUCCUAACCAAAAAGGAUAGCCGGGUUGCCGAA